AGUACUGUGCAGUGGCUCCACCUGCCGCAGCGCACCAUCCUGGCGGCAUCCCUGGGGACCCACAGCCCUCCUGAUGCAGUGUGUGGAGAUGGGUAGUUUGUGUGGAGUGUAGUUGUGGCACUGUCUGGCGUAGAAUUUCACACCAACACGGCACACUGGAGGCAGCCCAGCCCAGUGCCGCCCCAACACACACACACACACACACACGCAUGUCUUAAUGAUGGUGUAGCCUGUAGUCCCUUGUUGGUCAGAUAAUUCAUAUGUGUAAAUAUUUGUCACAGAGGAGUAGUUUGUAGGCACAGGCAAAAUGAUUUGCCAGGUGACUACCAUCUUACAUAUUUCUUGCAGGUAAUAGAUACACUCAGCUCAUAAUAAUUCCCCUAAUUUUAUACAACAAAAACAGUACCAUCAUUACUAUUCUGGGUCUAGGAUAAGACAGAAAGACAAAAUCUUAGAAUUAUAUAUAUUACUGCCUAAUAUAAUUGCCAUUAUAUGUUAUGGUCUAGUAAUGGUCAAUGAAUGUCUGAAGUUAAAGAUAUCUGGAAAAGGAGAGCAUUUCAUAUAUAACAUUGAUAUCAAAGAUUACUGCAUAUAGAUAUCAAGAGACAACAUGGUUGGCAGUCAUUGCCUUUUCAUAAAAAGCAUUCUUCCUGCUUGACAAAUCAAAUCAGUUUCUUUAUAUUGCACUGUAUGCAAUAUAGUGGUGAUGUGGUUUGCACCCUCUGCCUACAAAUCCAUGGGCCUGGGUUCGAAUCCCAGCUCAGGCAGUCAGCACACAGCCCACCCAGCUGUUGAUCCUUCCUCUCAGGCCGGCCAGUAAAUGAGUACCUUGGGAAACCUGAGGACAGUAAAUUGUGAUAACCCAGAUGUCACAGGCCCUUUGUCACGGUGAUGGGUUCUGCCCGCCACAGGCUCCAGGGCCAGUGUGGCUGAGAAGGGUGACAUGUGCACCAUGUCCACGUCCUGGUAGUCUUCAGUGCGUACGUUGUUGCGUCGGUAGCCUCAUUGUUGACGCCAAGGCUCUUUAGGGAGACAUAUGUAUGAACCACACCAUUAUAACAAAGAGGUGCAGUUUUCUACCACUAAUGCACACCUUCAUCCUGUGAGGUGAGGGCAAGCCUUGUCUUUAGUGUUAGGGAGGAAGGGAACUCCACUGGAAAAUAUUGUUCUAGCAUUUUGUUGAUUCACAACUUUUUGCUUAGUUUUGUGGUAGUUUUCACAAUAUAUCUUUGUUUUAAGUGGGAUUAUUUUCAUAUGCAUAUAUACAUAUUAUGUUACAUGAAAAUUCACAUUAGUUAAAUAUUAGCCAUUUAGUUUCAAUCACUGCAACAUCAUUAAAAUGUCUUAAACAUCACAGCUGUAGUAGAGCCUCAGCAACACACACACACGUCUUUAUUUGAGAGGGGCAGGAUUUACAAAGCAAUAGGUUAGUGUAAUCAUUGCAAGUUCAUUAGUUAGAGUGUGUGUAAAGAGAACUUUAAAAUGCAUGCACAGGAAGCUCAAGGCAGAAGAUCAUCUGAACAAUUCUGUCACAUAAGAGCUGCCAAGGAUUUAUGGUUUCAUCAUUCCCAGCCACUCUCCAGAUAGCAAGUUCAACAUGAGCCUAAUCACUGCAUUUUUUACUGUAUUUUAGAAUCACAAACUAUUGUGUAGUGUGCAUGCAUUUAGGAAAACAGAACUCACCAUAGCAGCCUGCCAACUGCCAGUGCAUAGGCACAUACAAUUAGCAGAAACUCCACACAGUUGGGCAGCUAAUGACUCGGGCUACAGCCGCCUCCAGAGCAAAGCUGCCAGACUGUCUUACUCAGCCUCUUAUAUUUACCGACUUCCGACCCAAAAACUGUCUCCUGGACCCCAAUAAGGAGAUUCACUUAUAAUUAUCGUUAAAAUAGUUAAUUCAUGAUGUGUCUUGGCAAUAGUCAGGCGUCAGAAACCAGUAAAUACUAUGCUCUGAGUACGACAAUCUGGCAACGGUGCUCCGGAGUGCUGCCCCUCCUUCCCCCUCUGCCCAGAGAAGUGGAAGUCACUAAUAUCACCUCUGGCUUCAUCACAAACCUCAGUUUACAAAACAAUCCUCCCCGAUAUCUUUAAUAUGAGAAUGUUUCAUGGCAUUGGUCUCUUUUUCUUCCAAAGGCAACAAAACCAACCAGCAAUGACUACAAGACAGGGGGGGGCCUCAGGGACAGUUGACUGGUGGCAGUUAUAGUAUAUCCAGACCUGCUCUUGAUAUUUUCAGCUUAGUGUUGUCUGAGGAGAGCCAAGUGGUGCCAGACUACUUGCUAAGGUGGUGGUGUUGAUAUUUCUAACAAAUAAACAGAAUUUGGCUGCUUUCGUUGGUUAGUUACGAUAUGGUUACAAAACUUUUUUCUAUAGAAUCUUAUUCAUAAGUUUGCGUGAUUUUAAAUAAUCACCUUUUACAGCCUUCCCUCAGCCCUCCCACCAGGCGGCAGUAAUCCUUCCUCCCCUGCCGUGAAGCCCUUUCUCCUGUCUGUCCUCUGCCAGAUGUUAGAUUUCCUUGACAUAGCAAAUUUCUUUAUCUCGAUUGCAUUCUCUAUCUUAGUGGAUGAAGACAGAGAUGGUGUGGUGGGCUUGUAUUGGGUAACAAGCGCAACUUACAUUUUCUUUGUUUUGUGUAAUUUUUUACUUAAUAGGUUGAGGAUUUCUUAAAAAAAAACACAAAGGAAUAAUGAUCUCUUGUUUGAAGUGCUGGUGAAAGGUAGCCUACACAGAUUUUAGAAGUUACAUUUAUAUACCUGAGUACCAUGACAUGUAUGCAAGGCUAGCUUCCUACAAAUAGAGGGGGCUUCGUGGUGCAGUGGUUAGCACACUCGGCUCACAACCGAUAGAGCUCGGGUUCGAUUCCCGGGCAGAGUGGAAAAAUUUGGGCGGCUUUUCCGAUACCCUACGCCUCUGUCCACACAGCAGUGAAUGGGCACCAGGUAUUAAUCAGGGGUUGUGUCCCGUCUCCUGGGAUCUGUUCCCUUCUCCUAUAAUUCCUUACCCUUCUGUCUCUCUCCGGCACAUGACCACAUGUUGCGCCGACUGAACAAAACUUUCCAACUUUCCUACAAAUAGUGUGUGCAUGUUUGUGUGUGUAUUUGUGUAUGCUUGGGUGUGUGCGUGCGAGCAUGCAUGGGCGUGUGUGUGUUUAUUUAAUUAGUUUUGAUAUACAGGAAGUACACUACAUUCUUGGGAUCCCGUCUUCAAGUCUUAGUUUAUCAAAUUUAGCUUUAAGUUCAGAAAUAUAAUUGGCUUGAAGUAUCUCCCUUUCAAGGUCACUCUAGCUGUCAGUGCUUCUAUGGGGAAAGCUGUGUCUCUUUAUAUCCCUGGAGGCAGGUUGUUUUAAAAUGUAAUGCAUAAAUAUUUUCCUUUUGUGUUUUUUUAAUAUGAUCGCUCCCCAUUUUAUAAUUUCAGCUUGGUCUCCUGGUUCCUUUGCAUGAUUACAGAACUUGACAUUUCUUUAUGUUAAAUAUUGUGUGUGUGUGUGUGUGUGUGUGUGUAUACGAGCACAUGAGAGGUCAGAAUAUUACUAACCUCAGCAUUGAGAAUUACAGUCAUUAUUUAGAUUCACUGAUUGGUUGUGUGUGUGUGUGUGUGUGUGUGUGUGUGUGUGUGUGUGUGUGUACGAGGACAUGAGAGGUCAAAAUAUUACUAACUUCAGUAUUAAGAAUUAGUCAUUAUUUAGAUUUACUGAUUGGUUGUGUGUGUGUGUGUGUGUGUGUGUGUACGAGGACAUGAAAGGUCAAAAUAUUACUAACUUCAGUAUUGAGAAUCACAGUCAUUAUUUAGAUUCACUGAUUGUUUGUUAGUUGAUAUAUUAAUUCAAGUUUUGCCUCCUUCCUAUGAUUUUAUGAUUAUCAAGAACUCAUCAUGUGAAACAGAUGCAUUGCCUAUGAAUCAUAAGUAGUCAUCAUACAUUGGUCAUUUACAAAUUACUAAACAGAUUCUAUUUUGAUAAGCCUCAUGAAAGCGUACUAUUCAAUGUCAGGCUUUAUAACUUGCAAUCACGCCUUACACAAAAUGCAUACCAGGUUUAUAGCAAUGUGAAAUAUGUCUUCAUAACCAAUAUAAGUAAGGCUUCCAGGACUGCAGGAACACAAGUGGCUAAAUUGCUGUUUCCAGUUUGAGUUGAUACACAUUUAUAGAAUUUUAACUUCAUAACUAAUUGAAAGUGGAUAGAUGAAUAAAAGAUAGAAUAGAAAAAGAAAGAUAGGAGAACAAUAGAAGAAGGAUUGUCACCAUAAAAAAAAGAUUGGGUUACACUUGUUCUGCUUUUAACCCGGUAGCAGCGGGGAUCAUGUAUCUUGAUGGUCCCUCUAAG